UUCCUGGUGUUCAAGGAAAUCUCUGUCAAGACUCCGUGGAGCAUGAGCUAAAGGAACAGAGACAUCAGUGACUUCAUGUGAGUUUAUGUUCAUUUGCUACAGCAGCGGUAGGAAGCUAACGCAGUGCUCAUUGAACGUUAGCUCUGGCCAUUGGGGAAGAACUUCAGCUCCAUGUUACCUGUGGUCAGUGUGUUCAGUAAAUUCUGAUCACAAUAAACAUAAUGGAUACGAGAACUCGCCAGAAGCGAUAUAGCAGGAGGUCUGUUCCUUUUCUGCUUAACGGUUGGUAUCGGAAGCAUCUGAAAGUACUUUGUUCAGUUUUUUAAAAAAAUCUGUAAUUCUGAACCAGUUACUUUAUUCCGCGGUGCAGGCCUGAUUCCACACUUUGGCGAAAGUUAGUAAUUUUUUAACAGGUAGAGGCGGCGGUGAAAUGGAACACACCUCAGGUCGGAAGUCUGAAAGUUGGGCCCUGGUCUCAGCUCCACCUCUAUCUGGCCGUGUGACUUAGGUCAUCUUGCCUCCUCUCUUUGGGUUUUGUUUUCCCCAUUCAGAAAAUGAAGGAAUUAGAUCAAUAAUAACUCCCAUGUGUCAAAUGCCUACAAUGCACAAUUUAUACAUAUGGUCUCAUCUUUGCACUUAAAAACUGUGCAAGGUAUCAUCCCCAUUUUAUAGUUGAGAAAACUGAGAGGCCCAGAGAGGUUAAGUGACUUUCCCAAGGUCACAGAGUAUCAGGCAGAGCUGUGAUUUAAAACCAGGACUGUUUGACUCUUUUUGAUAAGCCCCUCUACCUUUCCACGUUUUGGAGGUCGACACUGUCUUCACAGAACAUGCUUAUGAGGCACCUGCUUUUCUCCGUAUAUCAUAGUGAGGAUGAUGGGUCUCUCUAGCUUCCCACUUGAGGGGUCUGGAACCUGGUCCAUCUCUUGUGUUUCUGAGAACCUCUGAUUCAGCCCCUCAGAGACUUCCCUCACAACCAUGUAUCCCUCCUCUCACCUCUAACAGACACUACGAGGUGCUGAACCAAUGUCUGGCCUCUCCUUUUUACUUAGUAACAGAAUCCUAAUUUUGUUCGAAUAAAAUGUACCCACUUAAAAAUACCUGCCCGCAUUCCCUUGCAGGUGCACCCUUACAGGUGGUCCCCUGACCCAGUUCUGACCAAUGAGAUGUAAGUGGACGUUUGGGUGGGGAUUCUUGGGAAUCUAUCUUCUUCAUACUAAAAGGUGGGAGAAGUCAGCAAGCCUAAGGCACAAAUUGCCUUUGUUUUCAUCCUCGCCUGGAACAUAGGUGAGGUUUCUGGAAGUGGAGCAGCCAUCUUGUGACUAUGAGGGUGAGUGCCACCUGCUAAGGAUAGCAGAGCCGGAAGACCGAAGAAACUUCUUUGUAAUCGGUCCUCUGUACCAGCCUGGAUUGCCUAGACUUCUUGUCACAUGAGAAAAAUAAAGCUUUAUUUGGUCAGAUUUCUGUUCUGUCAACUUCAUACCAUCCUAACUGACAGGUUCUCUGAGAAAAGUCUCUCCUCUGCCCUGUAGGCCUGACAUGUGGCCUUAAUAGGCACCUGUGGUGACUCAAAAAUAGAUCAGGGGGAAGAGAAAUUGGCCAUGGCUGUGAUUCUGAACUUGCUGAGCCAUCACCUGUUCAAUCCAUGCUCUGAAGAAGAGUCUGUUAAUUACACUCUCCUUGGCCAGCCAGAGCACAGGAGGCUGCGUCCGUGUGUUCUCAGGGAAGCUCAAAUAUAGCUCAGGCUCCUUCACUGCUUUUGCUGAGUGUGCAGCUUCUGCGUGUCUGGCAGCCCCAGCGAAGCAUGGAGAAGCUUUUCCCGGGAGGUUAGAGUCUGAAGAAGGUGCUAGAAAACAGGGAUGCUGGCAAGGUCUGGCUCAAGGAAACAAGAUCUUCCCUCCCGCCUUCUGCAAGGAGUUAAAGCAAUAUGGAAAGGUACAAAGAAGGCAGUGAGAAAGUCAAGUGAUCAAGGUCAACAGCACGAAGGGGUUUCAUUGUCAGGGAUGAGCUGAGGCUCAGGAAGCAGCCACGAAAACCUGCCUUGCACCCCCUCUCAUUUCUCCACUGCGCUGGAAUCGGACUCUAAAUGGAAAGAGGGAGUCAAGAGGGCCCCAACCUGGCUCCCUCAUCCGGGCAGAAGCUGUCCCUUUAAAAGAGAGAGGAGGCAGAGUUGGCUUACUGCUGCCAGAAGAGGCUGACUGACAGCCAGUGUGCUCCCGGGAGGCCUGAUGUCAUCGCCAGUGAGCAACAAGGCAUCUGACUGGCAGCAGAAUGAGGAGUCCAGGAGCCUUGGCUGUGACUGCGGGGGAGGGGGGGGGGUGUCUGCACAGCACCCACCGAGCAGGCAUUUAAAGUUGCAGGAAUUGGGUCCAUCCCAGGCUCUUCAGGGCCCCUCUCUCAGCCUUACCUAUCAAGCAGGGCUUCUCUCCAUUCUCUCCAUCCUUGGAACGGGGGCGUCCUGCCUGCAAGACCAGACUCCCGUUCCAGCACUGGAACCACCUCCCGAGUGCCAGGUCCGGACCAUACCUGGCUCUCAAGUGCAUGCUCUCCUUCCCUCCUCCCCUCUGAUGAUGAACUUGACACUAUUUUUUUUUCUAAUUAUAAAGGUAAUACAGGCAUUG